rnacentral:rRNA from 1 species
UCAGACGAUGCGUCAUGCAUAUCAAUAAGCGGAGGAAAAGAAACUAACAAGGAUUCCCUCAGUAACGGCGAGUGAAGCGGGAAGAGCUCAAAUUUGAAAUCUUGAAAGGUCACCUUUCACGAAUUGUAGUUUAAAGAAGUGUUUUCUGUUACGAUCGUAAUAUAAGUUCUUUGGAAUAGGACAUCACAGAGGGUGAGAAUCCCGUCUAUGAUUGCGAUUUGUAGCUUCGUGAUACACUUUCAAAGAGUCGGGUUGUUUGGGAAUGCAGCCCAAAACGGGAGGUAAAUUUCUUCUAAGGCUAAAUAUUGGCGAGAGACCGAUAGCGAACAAGUACCGUGAGGGAAAGAUGAAAAGAACUUUGAAAAGAGAGUUAAAUAGUACGUGAAAUUGUCAAAAGGGAAGCGUUUAACACCAGUGUUGUUUUCUGAAAAUCAACCUCUGUUAGCUUUAUGCAUGUUUGUUUAGACCUAAUCAGCUAUCUUGCAUGUUCCUAUUGUUUCGCAGUGGUGCACUUUUCAGUUUACAGGUCAACAUCAGUUUUUUUUACCGUAAAAAAGUUAAAGAAAGGUAGCUCAUGGCUCCGGUCGUGAGUGUUAUAGUCUUUUUCCUAUGCGGUAGGAGAGGACUGAGGUCUGCAGUGUAGGCUAUUUGGCUAGAUACUCAGGUGCUAUGUGAUACCAUUUCAUAAACAACUUGUUGAUUAUGUUUUGUCUAUUGCAUACUCGCUUGUACUAUCAUACCUACGCUUAGGAUGUUGAAGACUCUACAGAGAUA